rnacentral:rRNA from 1 species
UUUGAACGCUGGCGGCAGGCCUAACACAUGCAAGUCGAGCGGUAUCACAAGAGAGCUUGCUCUCUGGGUGACGAGCGGCGGACGGGUGAGUAAUGUCUGGGAAACUGCCUGAUGGAGGGGGAUAACUACUGGAAACGGUAGCUAAUACCGCAUGACGUCUUCGGACCAAAGUGGGGGACCUUCGGGCCUCACGCCAUCAGAUGUGCCCAGAUGGGAUUAGCUAGUAGGUGGGGUAAUGGCUCACCUAGGCGACGAUCUCUAGCUGGUCUGAGAGGAUGACCAGCCACACUGGAACUGAGACACGGUCCAGACUCCUACGGGAGGCAGCAGUGGGGAAUAUUGCACAAUGGGCGCAAGCCUGAUGCAGCCAUGCCGCGUGUAUGAAGAAGGCCUUCGGGUUGUAAAGUACUUUCAGCGAGGAGGAAGGCAUUAAGGUUAAUAACCUUGGUGAUUGACGUUACUCGCAGAAGAAGCACCGGCUAACUCCGUGCCAGCAGCCGCGGUAAUACGGAGGGUGCAAGCGUUAAUCGGAAUUACUGGGCGUAAAGCGCACGCAGGCGGUUGAUUAAGUCAGAUGUGAAAUCCCCGAGCUUAACUUGGGAACUGCAUUUGAAACUGGUCAGCUAGAGUCUUGUAGAGGGGGGUAGAAUUCCAGGUGUAGCGGUGAAAAUGCGUAGAGAUCUGGAGGAAUACCGGUGGCGAAGGCGGCCCCCCUGGACAAAGACUGACGCUCAGGUGCGAAAGCGUGGGGAGCAAACAGGAUUAGAUACCCUGGUAGUCCACGCUGUAAACGAUAUCGACUUGGAGGUUGUGCCCUUGAGGCGUGGCUUCCGGAGCUAACGCGUUAAGUCGACCGCCUGGGGAGUACGGCCGCAAGGUUAAAACUCAAAUGAAUUGACGGGGGCCCGCACAAGCGGUGGAGCAUGUGGUUUAAUUCGAUGCAACGCGAAGAACCUUACCUACUCUUGACAUCCAGAGAAUUUGCUAGAGAUAGCUUAGUGCCUUCGGGAACUCUGAGACAGGUGCUGCAUGGCUGUCGUCAGCUCGUGUUGUGAAAUGUUGGGUUAAGUCCCGCAACGAGCGCAACCCUUAUCCUUUGUUGCCAGCACGUAAUGGUGGGAACUCAAAGGAGACUGCCGGUGAUAAACCGGAGGAAGGUGGGGAUGACGUCAAGUCAUCAUGGCCCUUACGAGUAGGGCUACACACGUGCUACAAUGGCAUAUACAAAGAGAAGCGAACUCGCGAGAGCAAGCGGACCUCAUAAAGUAUGUCGUAGUCCGGAUUGGAGUCUGCAACUCGACUCCAUGAAGUCGGAAUCGCUAGUAAUCGUAGAUCAGAAUGCUACGGUGAAUACGUUCCCGGGCCUUGUACACACCGCCCGCCACACCAUGGGAGUGGGUUGCAAAAGAAGUAGGUAGCUUAACCUUCGGGAGGGCGCCUACCACUUUGU